rnacentral:rRNA from 1 species
CGCACUUCGGUGCAAUGUACGAGUGGCGAACGGGUGAGUAACACGUGAGAAACCUGCCUCGGAGACCGGGACAACCAUUGGAAACGAUGGCUAAUACCGGAUGUCCUCAUUUGAUCGCAUGAUCUUUUGAGGAAAUGAUCCGUCGCUCCGGGAGGGUCUCGCGGCCUAUCAGCUUGUUGGUGAGGUAAUGGCUCACCAAGGCAUCGACGGGUAGCUGGUCUGAGAGGACGAUCAGCCACACUGGGACUGAGACACGGCCCAGACUCCUACGGGAGGCAGCAGUAGGGAAUCUUGCACAAUGGGCGAAAGCCUGAUGCAGCGACGCCGCGUGGGGGAUGAAGGCCUUCGGGUUGUAAACCCCUUUCAGUAGGGACGAAAAUGACGGUACCUACAGAAGAAGCUCCGGCCAACUACGUGCUAGCAGCCGCGGUAACACGUAGGGAGCAAGCGUUGUCCGGAUUUAUUGGGCGUAAAGAGCUCGUAGGUGGUUCGGUAAGUCGGAUGUGAAAACUCAAG